GUCGGCUGUUACCCGGGGAAGUUCUUCAGGGAAACGCCUCCGAACUGUGGCUUCUUGCGGAAGCGGUGAGGCCAAAGCCGGGGCCCGCGGAGACCGGUCCGGAGAGGCGGCGCGCGUUCCUACAGGUCUCGGGACUGAUUUCUUCAGUGCUUAGAGUCUGAGAAAAAAUGGCAAAUAUGGAUAGUGAUUCUAGCCAUCUUCUCAUCCCUGAGGUAGAUAAUGAAAUAAAUCCUGGACCUAUGAAUAUCCAGUUUGAUUCAUCAGAUAUAAGAUCCAAAAGGCCUUUCUAUAUAGAGCCCACAAACAUCGUCACUGUGAAUGAUGUCAUUCAGAGGGUUAGUGACCAUGCCUCUGCAAUGAACAAGAGGAUUCAUUACUACAGCCGGCUCACUGCUCCUGCAGACAAGGCACUGGUUGCCCCAGAUCAUGUAGUUCCAGCUCCAGAAGAGUGCUAUGUGUAUAGUCCAUUAGGUUCUGCUUAUAAACUUCAAAGUUACACCGAAGGAUAUGGUAAAAACACCAGUUUAGUAACCAUUUUUAUGAUUUGGAAUACCAUGAUGGGAACAUCUAUACUAAGUAUUCCUUGGGGCAUAAAACAGGCUGGGUUUACUACUGGAAUGUGUGUCAUCAUGCUGAUGGGCCUUUUAACACUUUAUUGCUGCUACAGAGUGGUGAAAUCACGAACUAUCAUAUCAUCAGUGGAUACCACUACCUGGGAAUAUCCAGAUGUCUGCAGAUAUUAUUUUGGCUCCUUUGGGCAGUGGUCAAGUCUCCUUUGCUCCUUGGUGUCUCUUAUUGGAGCAAUGAUAGUGUAUUGGGUGCUUAUGUCUAAUUUUCUUUUUAAUACUGGAAAGUUUAUUUUUAACUUUAUUCAUCACAUUAAUGACACAGAUGCAAUACUGAGCACCAACGAUAGCAACCCUGUGAUUUGUCCAAGCGCCAGGAGUGGUGACCAUCCUGACAAUGGCUCUAUGAUUUUCUACACCAAUGACUCGGGACUCCAGCAGUUUGAAAAGUGGUGGAAUAAGUCCAAGACAGUGCCCUUUUACCUCAUGGGACUCCUCCUGCCACUGCUUAAUUUCAAAUCUCCUUCAUUUUUUUCAAAAUUUAAUAUCCUAGGCACAGUGUCCGUUCUCUACUUGAUUUUUCUUGUCACCUUGAAGGCUAUUCACUUGGGAUUUCAUUUGGAGUUUCAUUGGUUUACGCCAACAGAAUUUUUUGUCCCAGAGAUAAGAUUUCAGUUUCCACAGCUGACUGGGGUGCUUACCCUUGCUUUCUUUAUUCAUAAUUGUAUUAUCACCCUCUUGAAGAACAACAAGAACCAAGAAAACAAUGUGAGGGACUUGUCCAUUGCUUAUAUACUGGUGACAUUAACUUAUUUCUAUAUUGGAGUCCUGGUUUUUGCUUCAUUUCCUUCACCACCAUUAUCCAAAGAUUGUAUAGAGCAGAAUUUUUUAGACAACUUCCCUAGCAGUGACAUCCUGUCCUUCAUUGCAAGGAUAUUCCUGCUGUUCCAGAUGAUGACUGUAUAUCCACUCCUAGGCUACUUGGCUCGUGUCCAGCUGUUGGGCCAUAUCUUCGGUGACGUUUAUCCUAGCAUUUUCCACGUGUUGAUUCUUAAUCUAGUUAUUGUGGGAGCUGGCGUGCUCAUGGCCUGUUUCUACCCAAACAUAGGAGGAAUCAUAAGGUUGUUCUAAGGUUUUCUUUAAUUGUGUAUCGUGCAAAGGCCAAGUCUAAAUCAUCUCCGACAGCCCUGCUGCUCUGAAUCCUGAUUCGAAAUCUUGGUGAAGGUGUAUUUUGUUGUUUCUCUAAGUCCUUCUCAAGUAGUUCUCUUGGUUCCUUUGUUUCUGAUGACCUUUUGUCUAGUACCUGGAGCAUAUUAAUGCUCUAUGGUUAAUCAGAUUUAGACUGCUGCAGGAAUUGUGUUAGUUUAUCAAGUUAACUCAAGGGGAUUCUCUGCGGAAAAAAAAAGCUAAAGUUUGCAGAGGUUCCAGUAGUUCUCAACCCUGACCGACUUCACUGGGCUCAAUACUGUACCAAAAGCAGCCAAACCUAUUUCCCCAGCACUACUCAACAGUUUGGAAAUUGCCAGUUGUUACUUUCUAAGUGUUUUGGUUACUGCUUUAUCCUUAACACCUGUUACUUUGUCACACGGCAGAUGGAUGCUCAGGAAAUACUUGUUGAUGGAAUGAACAAGAUACCUGGUAGAAUAAUUUGUUGUAACAAAUCAAACUACAAACAAAAUAGAAGAAAGUAUGAGUGAAUGCUUCUCUUGGCUGUGUAUGGAUAAAGACUAUCUUAAGUUUACGAGCCAUGGAGGAAAUCAUCUGGAAAAAAAGAUGGAUUUUCUAAUAUUCACCUUUCUUCAAAAUGAUCCUGAAAGAUGAGUCAGAAGUCCCAUAACUGCUUUCCAUAGGGGGAAGCUGGGGCCCAGAAAGGUUAAGCAAAUUCCCUACCAGGGCAUCAGAGGAACUCUAGGUUCUCAAGUGGUUAUGGAAAUCUAGUCAAAAUGGAAUGAAACUUCUGCUUCCUUAGGUUAUCUUUCCUGUUUGUUUAAAAUUAGAUCCUUUCUAUUUUAUCAGUUCCUAGGAGAUUGUUUUUGACACAUGUAAAUUUGGAGUCCCCUCUAAUUGGAACCAGUUUUCUCCAGGACACCCCAGUCAUUGGUUAUGAGGCCUCUCCUCCUCAUAUAAACAUAGCCCUCAGGACUUGCCUGGUGGUCCGGUGGGUAAGACUCCAAGCUCCCAAUGCAGGGGGCCUGGGUUCGAUCCCUGGUUGGGGAACUAGAUCUCAGCAUGCAUGCUGCAACUAAGACCUGGCACAGCCUAAAUAAAUAAGUAAAUAAAUAUUAAAAAGAAAAGAAACCUAGCCUUUUAAAAAUAAUAAAAAUAAAAAAAUACAGCCCUCUUCUGGCCAAGCAGUCCAUUGCUGAUCAAUGUCACCAAUAUUACCCAGAGGAUGUAGAGUGACCCGUUUAAUUGCUGGCCCUGGAGUGUAUUGUCUAUGAAACCCAUGUAUUCAGGGGUUUUUCGCUUAGUAAAGCUGUUUGAACAUAUUUACUCUCAGAGUUUUAUUAUUUACUUUUAGAUUCCAAGAUAUUUUGAUCAUCUGAAUUGAGAAAGAAAGAUUUAACCUUGAGAAAGGAGAAAAAGUAGAAAGAGAGUUACGGGUUUUGUGAAUUUUAGAUUUUCCCAGGGAAAAAGUUGAAAAGGGGACAAUUCUAUUUUUAGGCACACAAAAUUCUUGAGCCAUAUGAUGUACUUCCGUUUUCAUAGAGUGAAGUUAGAAGGACUCUAAGAGAUUUUUUUUGUCCAACCUCUCCACCUUAUAGAUGAAGAAAUUGAAUUCAAGUAAGUUUUGACAUGUCUUAGAGCUAUUUCCCUGUCAUUGUGUAUAUAUUUACCUUAUUUUUUUAAAAAAAAGCUGUGUAACAUUCUAUAAGGAUGCAUCUUAAUUUAUUUAGCCAUAUUUCUUUGAGGAAUAUUUUGGUUAUUUCCAAUUUUUUUCCCACUAUUAUAAACAAUGCUGCAGUGAAUAACCUUGUAUAGGUGUCUUAGUAUUUACUUAGUAUUUUUACAGGAUAGAUAACCAGAAACGAAGUAAAAAUUUUAGUAGAAAUAGUCCUCUUAGUUAAUUGUACCCAUGGCUGCACAUCCUUGCCAACACUGGAUAUUAUCAAACUUUUAAGUUGUUUUCUUUUUUUUUCUUUUUUUUUUUUUUCUUAUUUUGGUCACGCCCCGAGGCUUGCAGGAUCUCAGUUCCCUGACCAGGGAUUGAACCCGGGCCAUGGCAGUGAAAGCGCUGAAUCCUAACCACCGGACGACCAGGGAACUCCCCGAAUUUAGGUUUUUAAAAUAAUUUUGAUCUUUUACAUUUAGUUUAUUGAUCUAUCUGAAAUGUGAUUUCCUGUGUUAUGUGAGAUGCGGGCCUAACUUCCUCAUUUUGUCAAUAUUGAGUAUGAGAGGAGGAGCAGAGCACUAGGUGUGCGAAGAGAAAGGAAGGCAGCUAAAGGCAGCCACCAGGUUACACAAUCCACUCAACAAAAUAAAAGCCCUCAGCUUACCAGACCUGAGCCCUGUGGAUACCUUAGAAGGCCAGUUAGGGACCAUGUAGAACGGUUACAUCAUGUUUGCAUUUGGGGGUUUAACUGUACAGGCUUUUAAGCUUCUGAGGGCCCAGAUACUAGCAACUUUAGGACAUUUUAAGAGACUUUUUUUUUUUUUUUUUUUUUUGCGGUACGCGGGCCUCUCACUGUUGUGGCCUCUCCUGUUGCGGAGCACAGGCUCCGGACGUGCAGGCUCAGUGUCCGGACGCGCAGGCUCAGUGUCCGGACGCGCAGGCUCAGCGGCCAUGGCUCACGGGCCCAGCUGCUCUGCGGCACGUGGGAUCCUCCCGGACCGGGGCACGAACCCGCGUCCCCCGCAUCGGCAGGCAGACUCCCAACCACUGUGCCACCAGGGUGGAAGAGUGGCAGUGAGAGGGAAAAGAUGGCCUGAGCAGACUGGCAGAAGCUAGGGGAGGCACGGCAGCCCCAGCCAGCUCUGGACCACGUUCCAGUCCCAGGGAAAAAGCAGGGACCAGGCGGGCACACUGACCAUAAACACGGGGAACCUACAGCUUAGUGCACACCUGGGUCAAUCCCACCAUCUGGGGGCCAGAUGUGGGUGCAGCAGGCAAAUUCCAAGCCCACUAAUAAGCAAAGAACUCCCAAUAAUGCCACGUGUAGCCUUCGGAGGCUCAGGACUGAGAAAUGCAGAAUGAUCAAGUGCUUGGCCGUUGUUCCAGAGGCCAGACAGGAUUGACGCCAGCAGGAACUGACAUGUCUGCAUGUUGUUGGCUGAGGACCUCAAAAGCCCAAGGUAGGGGUAAGGGCUCAUUAGGAGGCAGGGGCCUAACUGGAUUCUGUUUACUCUUAACUGGUUAAGUUUGCAUUGCCAGAUUAAGUUACUGAUUAAGCCCACAGAUGUACCCCUAGCCCCCACCACACACACAUUUUUUUGUCUUCUAUUCUCUAUUUGUAAUUCUUUCUGGCUGUCGCUGCUCCUCUCCUGGUUUUAUGCCAUUAUGAUGUGUGGAAAACAUCAGAAGACCUCUCUACAGUGUCUUAAAAUGCCUGAGUACAAAGAUGAACAAAAAAUCUAUCAAAGCUGGUUUUGGACUCAGUACUGUGAUGUGUCAUUUCCAAAGGUCAGAAAGCUGAGUGCUGAAGUGACCAAGUUUCCAAGCCCUCUGGAUUUGCCAUCUUUUGGCAUUUCCAUAAGUUUUCUGGCCCCUAAAGGAAUCGCUGAUUUCUCUUUCCUGACUGUCUUUUAAUCUCAGCUGUCCUGAGCAGAGCUUCCCCAAUUCUGGACAGGACCAGCUGGUCAGCCCUCUCCUCUCUGGGGCUCCUGAGUUUUCUUCCUCUGUAUGCGGAGAUGUACAGUUCAGAAGGUCAGCCAGGGGUUGGUGUGACGGAUCCAGCCAAGGGCUCUGCUCAGUUUCCACCAUGCGGCUCAGAAACAAAGCAGCCACGACGAGUAUUGCCAAGACCAUGUGCUGGGAGCCAGGAGUAGAUGAAUUCCCGGUGUGAGCAAGGAAAACAGCACCCGAGUUUGCUGCGACUGUGAUUAACAUUCAGGAUUCCUCCGGUAGAAGGCCCCUCCUGAGAAACCAUAACAUUUGCAGAAGUGGAUUCAAGCAAACCCCAGUGGUUUUCAAUCUCAGUCUCUUUCUCUCGCAGGCCCUCUCUCUCUUUUCCCUUUCUUUGGCAGCAAAUCCCUAUGUUCAAAUAUACAUUUUAAAUAAAAACCAGUACACAAAAGAGAUCAAGAUUCAGUCUGUCUGAUUUUUUGUGGAGGCUGGGGACCCACGUGGCCCCUCCCCCAGUCACCCCAGGGUAAUUUCGGGGUAUUGUUCGGCCCCAUGGAACCCAGGGUUUGAAAGCCAUUGCUCUGGUCUGUCUUCCCCACACACAGAGGGAAUAUGGAUCUUCUCUGAUCCUGACUCCUCAGCUGCUCCCCAAACAACAUUCCCCCACCCCUCCCCCAAACUGCUUUUAUGCUUCAACACAUGCCAAGAACUUUAUCGGGUGAGAUUUGUUGUAUUUCUUUCUUAAAAGUUGGAAAGUGUCCUUUGAUGGAAAAUGAGUCUAAUGAUAACUUGUGAUAUUUUCAAAAAAGAGCAUUGGCCUGAACUUCAUGUAUUUUAUUCUCCUAGAAAAAUAGAAGUGUGAUCACGUGGUUUCAUUUCCUUGAGGUCAAGAAGGCAGCAUUUACAGAUGGUUCCCUCACCUCCCCCAUGAGAUGGGAGAACCCAGGCUGUGGCUGUCCUCACUGGCUCUGUUGCAUUGGCUUUGUGUUAAUGCAACAUCUUGGAUCGAAUUGAACUUGCUUCAUUUUUUGAUUAUUACACACUCUAUCAGCCACUUAAUUUUCCUGCCAUUGACCACUAGUUACAUUUUCAUCUAUAACCUCAGAUGCCAUGGGAUAGAAAACUGUGAGAAAGUUCAUCUCUGAAGCAGUGGAAAGUUCCCAGAUGUGAGAACAACACAGCAACCUAUGGUGGGAAAGGCCACUAAACAGCUUUAUUACAUCAGCUAUCACAAAUAGCAAAGAUUCUUGGGGUGGAAAAAUUAUUAUUUUAUAAGAUUACCAGUCAUCCCAGAAGCACAAUGUGUUUUUAGCCGUUCAUUUCAAAGUUGGCUCAUUCCUCAGCUACCUACUUAGUUUUCCUUUUUUUUCAAUAGUGGUUAGACUGUAUUUCUCUAGGCCACACCAGCCAGAAUGCUUUGCACUCUGAAUAUACAAAUAGUGAUGAUCUGAGUCUCUCCUGUUUUUAUCCUCACCUCUAGUCCCCACCAAUGCCCCUUCUGGGAAUCCCCAGAAAGCAUCUCACCUGGACUCACCAAAAAGCACAGGACCAUCGUGGGCUGCCACCACUGUCUUCCUCUGCCCUGUCCCUCUCCAGUGAUGUCAACUGCCCAGCCUGCACUCCCCAGGCAGCUGUACGAUGGUGCCUCAAGGCUGCCUCCAAUGUCCCCAGCCAACAACUCAUCCAGGCACAUUGCCACUGCCACCACCCCCAAUACACAGGGGCCUUCAGUGUACCAAUGUGGAGAGGAAUAUUCUGGAGGUCAUGAAGUUUGGGGACAAAAUGGGAGAAAGUCCUCUCCCUUUUGGGUAAUACAUCUGUAUGAAUGGAAUACUGAGGCAGUACUAUCUUUUAUCCAGUGUCUUAGAAGUGUUUUUUAAUAAAAUUUGUUUGUUUAUUUAUUUAUUUAUUUUUGGCUGCGUUGGGUCUUCGUUGCUGCGCGCGGGCUUUUUAUAGUUGCAGCGAGCGGGGGAUACUCUUCGUUGCGGUGCGCGGGCUUCUCAUUACAAUGGCUUCUCUUGUUGCGGAGCACGGACUCUAGGCGUGCAGGCUUCAGUAGUUGUGGCACGAGGACUUAAGUAGUUGUGGCAUGUGGGCUCAGUAGUUGUGGCUCGUGGGCUCUAGAGCGCAGGCUCAGUAGCUGUGGUACACGGGCUUAGUUGCUCCGAGGCAUGUGGGAUCUUCCCAGACCAGGGCUCGAACCCGUGUCCCCUCCAUUGGCAGGCGGAUUCUUAACCACUGCACCACCAGAGAAGUCCCUCUUAGAGGUUUUUUUUUUGCGGUACGCGGGCCUCUCACUGUUGUGGCCUCUCCCGUUGCGGAGCACAGGCUCCGGACGUGCAGGCUCAGCGGCCAUGGCUCACGGGCCUAGCCACUCUGCGGCAUGUGGGAUCUUCCCGGACCAGGGCACGAAUCCGUGUCCCCUGCAUCGGCAGGCGGACUCUCAACCACUGCGCCACCAGGGAAGCCCCCUCUUAGAGUUUUUUAUGAGAAUAAUUAUCUUAGCCCAUUCGGGAUGCUAUACCAGAAAUACCACAGACUAGGGGGCUUAUAAGUAUCAGAAAUUUAUUUGUCACACUUCUGGAGGCUGGAAGUCCAAGAUCAGAGUGCCAUCGUGGUUGGGUUCUGGGGAGGACCCUCUUCUGUGCUGCAGACUGCUGACUUCUUGCUGUAUCCUCACAUGGCACAGGGAGCUAGGGAAAUCUGCGGGGUCUCUUUUAUAAGGGUGCUAAUCCCAUGCAUGAGGGCUCCAAGCUCAUGACCUAAUAAUCACCUCUCAAAAGCCCCACCUUCUAGUACCAUCACAUUACGGGGUUAGGAUUUCAACAUCUGAAUUUUAGGAGGACAAAAACAUUCAAACCGUGGAAAUCAUGCUUUCAAAUUUUACCCACAGGCCUUUCUCUUCUAGGACUCAGUGCUGGAUACAUGGAGGCAAGACCAGGGUUUGGGGAAUCCUGUGUUUUCGGAACUAUGCCUCACACCAAAAGCCUUAAUACACUUUUCUGUUUAAGUCUGUCUUCCCUUAAAUUAGUUCUCUCUCCCAAGUUUAUUCUUCCUCUUAAAAACCGGUUUCUGACAUCUGACGUCACCAAACAGGCCCAGACACAUCUGAACCCCAGCAGGGGAUGGCUUAGACUUAAGCUAAGGAAACCAUUGCUAUAUAACUUUCAAGUUUAAAUUGACUGUAGGCUCUUUAGCCAAUAUGUAUGCCUUUUUUUAAAAAAACAGAUAAUAUCAGUCAUUCAUUCCCAAGUUAGUCGUUUUCUUUUCUUUUGCCUUUUCCUUAUGAGCUCUUGGAUGUCAAAAGGCAGAUUGGCAAGGUCAUUACUGAUCAUCUGAUUCAUGCACAUUAAUUAUGUAAGUAUGAAGUGUAUCGUUCCUAUUUCUCCAGGUCAGCAUUCUGUUUGCCUAAAAUAAAUUUACUCCAAUGGAUCUUUACUAGGAUGUGGAGCAGUUGGAACCCUCACACAUUGCUGGUGGGAAUGUAAAACAAUGCAGCCACUUUGGAAAUCAGUCCUGCAGUUCCUCAAAGAAGUUGAACAUGGAGUUACCAUAUGACCCAACAAUUCCACUCUAGGUAUAUACCUGUGAGAAAUGAAAACAUAAGUUCACGUAACAACUUGUAUACUAAUGUUCAUAGCAUCAUUAUCCAUCAUAGCCCCGAAGUGGAAACAACACGAGUAUCCAUCAACUGAUGAAUGGACAAAUAAAAUGUGAUAUAUGCAUGCAAUGAAAUAUUAUUCAGACACAUAAAGGAAUGAAGCCCUGACAUAUGCUACAAUUAGGAUGACAUUUUUUAUUGUGAAAUUCUAUGUAUUUCACUAAAUAAAUGAGUAUAUAUUGAUAUUUUUCAAUUUCUUUUAGCUGUUUUCAUCAGCUAAAACAGGAAAACGGUGGAGGUUUUUUGUUUUUUUAAAUUGAGAUGCAAUUCACAGAGCAUAGCCUCCCCCCCACUUUUAAAGUAUACAAUUCAAUGGUUUUUAGUAUAUUCACAGAUAUCUGCAACCAUAACCACUAUCUAAUUCCAGAACAUUCUCAUCACCCCAUAAAGAAACCUCAUACCAAUUAGCAGUCCCUCUCCAUUUCCCUACCCCCCAGCCCCUGGCAACUACAAAUCUCCUUUCUGCCUCUAUGGCUUUGCUUGUUCUGGAGAUUUUAUAUAAAUAAAAUCACAUAGGUGGCCUUUUGUGUCUGCCUUCUUCUACUUAGCUAAUGUCUUCAAGGUUCAUCCAAACUGUGACCAACACAGAUAUAUUCCUGCCUUCACAGGGCAAUUCAGUACAGCACACGGCUCUGUGGGACCAUGUGGAAGGAACACCCACUCAGACAUGACGGGCCAGGGAAAUCUUUCCAGACCCCUUGCUUCCUACUAGAGGCCUGAAGUCGAGCCAGAGUCAGGGACACAAAGAGCAGACUGAGGAGAAAGAGGAAAUGGCGUAUGCAAGGACCCUGAGGUGGGAGAGAACACAGCAUGUUCUGGGAACUGAAAGCAGUUCAGGUCCAAUCUAAACAUUUGGUCUGCACUGAGUCCAGACUAUUACAUUUAGGAAUUCAGCACUUUGCCAGGGUUCCAGCUUGUUCACACUUUACUCUGUGUGUCAGUCCGUUAGAAUGUUUUCAGCUGCAAGUAACAGAGGCUGACUCCCACAGGUUUAAAGAUUAAGGACAUUUAUUAUCUCAUAUGACAGGGUGGGCAGACUUCAGGGUUGGUGGAUUCAGUGGCUUAACAAUGUCAUUAGGGGACUUCCCUGGGGAUCCAGUGGCUAAGAGUCUGCCUUCCAGUGCGGGGGUUUGAUCCCUGGUCAGGGAGCUAGGAUCCCACAUGCUGAGGGACAACUGAGCCUGCAUGCCACAACUACUGAGCCCGCACGCCUCAACUAGAGAGCCCAUGUGCUGCAAACUACAGAGCCCAGGUGCUCUGGAGCCCAUGCACCACAACUACAGAGAAGGCCACGCACCACAACGGAAGAGCCCGCGCGCUGCAAUGAAGAUCCUGCAGCUAAGACCUGACGCAGCCAAAAAUAAAGUAAAAUAAAAAACAACAACAAAAACAAUGUCACUAGGGACCCAAGUUCGUUCUGUCUGUCUCUCUGCUAACUACCUGUUCAGCUUCUGUCUAAGGCAAGUUCCCCUUGAGGCCACACAACCUGGGACAACAUGUUUCCCUGUUAUUUUUCAACAGGAGAGACACGCACUUCUGUUUUCUGAAAGCCCCAGCAAGGAUUCCCUGACAUCUCAUUGGCACAAGUUCCUGAACAGAGUCCUGGUGAGGGAGCAGUUACCAUGAGCAGCUUGGAUUAAUUAUGUGGCGAUGGAUGGAGGACUGGGGAGUCAACCUCAGUGUGACCACACUGGGGACCUUAAACACAGUUGGGUGCCUUGGGCUGGCAAUGCAUUCACCAGCAGCUGCCUUGGGGUUCAUCUCCCACUCUUGUAUCCAAAAAUAUAUCCAAGCCCAACUUCAAAGUAGGAUGAGUAAUGUGAUUUCUGUUCCACAGGUUUUGUGAGAACUGUCUGUCAUACCUAAAAAAUUCCUAAAAAUUAUCUGUAAACCUCUUUCUCUUUCCUCAGAUUUCCACUCUCCACCACAGGUACUACAUCUCUUUCUAUCUCUCUCUGCCCCAUCUUCCUCCUGAGACCGCUUACAGCCAAGCUGGUUGUUUCCUCUUUCCCCACUCCCUUUCUUUAAAUCACUUAGCUUGCAUUUUCCUCUCAACACAAACUACUGCUGCCCCAUGCAAAGGAACAGAAUUUUAGGUAAUUCUACUGUUCCUCUUGCAUGUUUCCAAGGGCUUCAAUUCACUCUGCCAAGAAUUCAACAGGAGAUCUGAACACUCGUACUGGUGUCUCUACAUACAAAGAUUCUGAUCACUUCAAACUCUUUCAACUCAAUAAGCUUAUUAAUCAUCAAUAACUAUUAAAAUUUAUGGGCAGUUCUCCAGAGAUAAACCCACUCACAUAUGGUCACCUUAUCUUUGAUAAAGGAGGCAAGAAUAUACAAUGGAGAAAAGACAGCCUCUUCAAUAAGUGAUGCUGGGAAAACUGGACAACUACAUGUAAAAGAAUGAAAGAAGAACACUUCCUAACACCAUAUACAAAAAUAAACUCAAAAUGGAUUAAAGACCUAAAUGUAAGGCCAGACACUAUAAAACUCUUAGAGGAAAACAUAGGCAGAACACUCUAUGAAAUAAAUCACAACAAGAUCCUUUUUGACCCACUUCCUAGAGAAAUGGAAACAAAAAUAAAAAUAAACAAAUGGGACCUAAUGAAACUUCAAAGCUUUUGCACAGCAAAGGAAACCAUAAACAAGAUGAAGACAACCCUCAGAAUGGGAGAAAAUAUUUGCAAAUGAAGCAACUGAUAAAGGAUUAAUCUCCAAAAUAUAUAAGCAGCUCAUGUAGCUCAAUAUCAAAUAAACAAACAACCCAAAUGGGCAGAAGACCUAAAUAGACAUGUCUCCAAAGAAGAUAUACAGAUUGCCAACAAACACAUGAAAGGAUGUUCAACAUCACUAAUCAUUAGAGAAAUGCAAAUCAAAACUACAAUGAGAUAUCAUCUCACACCGGUCAGAAUGGCCAUCAUCAAAAAAUCUACAAACAAUGAAUGCUGGAGAGGGUGUGGAGAAAAGGGAACCCUCUUGCACUGUUGGUGGGAAUGUAAAUUGAUACAGCCACUAUGGAGAACAGUAUGGAGGUUCCUUAAAAACUAAAAAUAGAACUACCAUAUGAUCCAGCAAUCCCACUACUGGGCAUAUACCCUGAGAAAACCAUAAUUCAAAAAGAGUCAUGUACCACAGUGUUCAUUGCAGCUCUAUUUACAACAGCCAGGGCAUGGAAGCAACCUAAGUGUCCAUCAACAGAUGAAUGGAUAAAGAAGAUGUGGCAUAUAUAUACAAUGGAGUAUUACUCAACCAUAAAAAGAUACGAAAUUGAGUUAUUUGUAGUGAGGUGGAUGGACCUAGAGUCUGUCAUACAAAGUGAAGUAAGUCAGAAAGAGAAAAACAAA